rnacentral:rRNA from 1 species
CGAACGCUGGCGGCGUGCUUAACACAUGCAAGUCGAACGCGAAAGGGACUUCGGUCCUGAGUAAAGUGGCGCACGGGUGAGUAACGCGUAGAUAACCUGUCUUCAUGUCUGGAAUAAUACGCCGAAAGGGGUACUAAUACCGGAUAUUCUUGCUUUUCAUAAGUUAUGCAAGCAAAGGUGGCCUCUGCAUAUGCUACUGCAUGAAGAGGGGUCUGCGUACCAUUAGCUAGUAGGUGAGGUAAUGGCCUACCUAGGCGACGAUGGUUAGCGGGUCUGAGAGGAUGAUCCGCCACACUGGCACUGGAACACGGGCCAGACUCCUACGGGAGGCAGCAGUGAGGAAUAUUGCGCAAUGGGGGAAACCCUGACGCAGCGACGCCGCGUGAGUGAGGAAGGCCUUCGGGUCGUAAAGCUCUGUCAAGAGGAAAGAAGUGUACAAUGGCUAAUACCUGUUGUAUUUGACGGUACCUCUAAAGGAAGCACCGGCUAACUCCGUGCCAGCCGCCGC